AAGCCACCACCAGUACAAUUGC
rnacentral:siRNA from 1 species